rnacentral:rRNA from 1 species
GAUCAUGGCUCAGGAUGAACGCUAGCUACAGGCUUAACACAUGCAAGUCGGAGGGGAAACGAUAUUGGAAGCUUGUCUUCCGAUAGGCGUCGACCGGCGCACGGGUGAGUAACGCGUAUCCAACCUGCCCACCACUUGGGGAUAACCUUGCGAAAGUAAGACUAAUACCCAAUGAUAUCUCUAGAAGACAUCUGAAAGGGAUUAAAGAUUUAUCGGUGAUGGAUGGGGAUGCGU